GGAAUGGGGCGGAAGAUUCGAGAACGUGUGGGGUCUGCAGAAGAUGAUGGCUGGGAAUGGGAGUGGGCGGUGCUGCUGAUCAUCGCUGCCCACGUUGCGACCGACCGAGCGACCGACCCAAUCAUCCUUUUCCUUCCUUCACUGUCAAUGAUCAUGUGGAUAGAGUCCAAGCUCUCAGACGUCUUUUAUCUGGUUCUGACCUUAAACAAAAGGCAAAAUGUUCAAAUGCCCGCCGGCCGGUGCAGUUGACCAUUUCGGAUGGGCAGCCCAGUUAUGGAAGGGCCAUAUAUGGGCCUCUAAAAUGCCGCCCAACAUCGUAGUAUUGCUUGCCUCUUUGGUCUGUCUACCGGCGAUGGCCCGGCUGAGGAGGAUCUCCGGCGCGUCGCCGCCGUUGACAUCCAACGCGCACACCUGGCAGGUGCAACAUGAUUCGCUUACUGGGCCGGUCAGCACUUCUUAAUAUGUUUGCUAGCAGCCAUCCUAUUUGGGCUGGCGUUGUUUCGGCCCAAUAUCGAACAAGUCUGGUCUGGGGCCUAAGAGGCCACUGCGUUAUUUAUUAAAAAAAAGAGGCCACUGCGUCCUACUCCCUCCGUUUCAAAACACAACUCAUAUAAAUUUGUGCACUUAGACCAAGGCAACUCUCAUUUCUAGUGCUGACCAUUCAUAUUGGAUUAAUAAUAAAUGGAUGUCAGUAGUUAUUA